AUUGAACGCUGGCGGCAUGCUUUACACAUGCAAGUCGAACGGCAGCACGGGGGCAACCCUGGUGGCGAGUGGCGAACGGGUGAGUAAUAUAUCGGAACGUACCCGGAAAUGGGGGAUAACGUAGCGAAAGUUACGCUAAUACCGCAUAUGCCCUAAGGGGGAAAGCGGGGGAUUCGCAAGAACCUCGCGUUUUCGGAGCGGCCGAUAUCGGAUUAGCUAGUAGGUGAGGUAAAGGCUCACCUAGGUGACGAUCCGUAGCUGGUCUGAGAGGACGACCAGCCACACUGGAACUGAGACACGGUCCAGACUCCUACGGGAGGCAGCAGUGGGGAAUUUUGGACAAUGGGCGCAAGCCUGAUCCAGCCAUGCCGCGUGAGUGAAGAAGGCCU
rnacentral:rRNA from 1 species